rnacentral:rRNA from 1 species
CGUGGAGACAGGUGGUGCAUGGCUGUCGUCAGCUCGUGUCGUGAGAUGUUGGGUUAAGUCCCGCAACGAGCGCAACCCUCACCCCUUGUUGCCAACAGGUCGCGCUGGGCACUUUAGGGGAACUGCCCCGGUCAACGGGGAGGAAGGCGGGGAUGACGUCAAGUCAUCAUGCCCCUUACGUCCUGGGCUACACACGUGCUACAAUGGCCGGUACAAAGAGACGCAAGACCGCGAGGUGGAGCUAAACCCAAAAAGCCGGUCUAAGUUCAGAUUGGAGUCUGCAACUCGACUCCAUGAAGGAGGAAUCGCUAGUAAUCGCGCAUCAGCACGGCGCGGUGAAUACGUUCCCGGGCCUUGUACACACCGCCCGUCACACCACGAAAGCCAGCUGUACUCGAAGUCGCUGAG